AUAGAACGCCUGGGCGGCAGGCUUGACGACAUGCAAGUCGAGCGGGAAACGAGUGAAGUAGCUUGCUAUCAGGCGUCGAGCGGCGGACGGGUGAGUAAUACUUAGGAAUCUACCUAGUAGUGGGGGAUAGCUCGGGGGAGACUCGAAUUAAUACCGCAUACGACCUACGGGAGAAAGGGGGCAACUUGUUGCUCUCGCUAUUAGAUGAGCCUAAGUCGGAUUAGCUAGAUGGUGGGGUAAAGGCCUACCAUGGCGACGAUCUGUCGCUGGUCUGAGAGGAUGAUCAGCCACACCGGGACUGAGACACGGCCCGG
rnacentral:rRNA from 1 species